GAAACUUAAAGGAAUUGGCGGGGGAGCACCACCAGGCGUGAAGCCUGCGGUUUAAUUGGAGUCAACGCCGGGAAUCUUACCGGAAGCGACAGCAGAGUGAAGGCCAGAUUGAAGAUCUUGCCAGACGAGCUGAGAGGAGGUGCAUGGCCGUCGCCAGUUUCGUGCCGUGAGGGUGGUCUCUUAAGUGAGAUAACGAACGAGAACCCGUGCCACAUGUUGCCAUCAGAAUCUAAAGGAUUGCUGGGCCCUCUUGUGGGACCGCAGCCGAUAAGGCUGAGGAAGGAGCGGGCAACGGCAGGUCAGUAUGCCCCGAAUCUUCCGGGCCACACGCGGGCUGCAAUGGUAUGGACAGAGGGCUGCAACCCCGAAAGGGGAAGCCAAUCCCUAAACCAUACCUCAGUUGGGAUUGAGGGCUGCAACCCGCCCUCAUGAACAUGGAAUGCCUAGUAACCGCACGUCAUCAUCGUGCGGUGAAUACGUCCCUGCUCCUUGCACACACUGCCCGUCGAACCACCCGAAUGAGGUUUGGGUGAGGGAUGGUCGUAAGUCGGCCGUUUCGAACCUGGGCCUUGUAAGGAGGGUUAAGUCGUAACAA
rnacentral:rRNA from 1 species